UACGUAGGGGGGCAAGCGUUGUCCGGAUUCAUUGGGCGUAAAGAGCGUGUAGGCGGCCAGGUAGGUCGGUUGUGAAAACUGGAGGCUCAACCUUCAGAGGUCGACCGAAACCAUCUGGCUAGAGUCCGGGAGAGGAGAGUGGAAUUCCUGGUGUAGCGGUGAAAUGCGCAGAUAUCAGGAGGAACACCAAUGGCGAAGGCAGCUCGCUGGGACGUGACUGACGCUGAGACGCGAAAGCGUGGGAGCAAACAGG
rnacentral:rRNA from 1 species